rnacentral:lncRNA from 1 species
GAGGUAGAGUGGGAAAAGAAAAAUCAAGAAGAUGAAGGGUGAAAGAGAGCAGAAUUUGGUUGCAAUGAAGAGAAAAAUGACAAGAGGGUGGAGGGAUUUUGGGGAAAGUAAAAAAAUGAAAAGAAAAAAAUAUGAACAAAAUAUUUAAUAACCACCCCAAUUCCUUAUUUCUCUCCGUCAAACUCCCCACUAAAUCCACUACUCAGAUUUUUAGUCCAUCUCAAACUCUCCAGGACGCACGAGCAAAAAUAAUGCCCACGCUAAGAUUCAAACACAAGACCUCCUUCACAC